CAACCAUCAAGCCCCGUGCUUGUGUUGGGGACCUGCGGCUGCCGCAGGCCCUGAAAGACAGUGGCGGGCUCGCUAGUCACACCGAGCGUAGUAGUAUUAUCUCGCUCAGGGCGUGCUGCGGGUUCCGGCCGUUAAACCCCCUUUACCCCAAA
rnacentral:misc_RNA from 1 species